CUUUUGGCUGUUAACUCUGUAUUCAGUCUGCUCAGAAUACCAUCAACGGAUAAGACAACAUAUGCGGACUGUAAAUGCAAUGGGUCAAAUGAAACUACUGUUGCACCUCGAGAAAAGAGAUGUGUAUGUCUUCCUGUUCCUCAG